AGGGACAUGACAUUCCCAACCCCCCCAACCCCGCAAGCCAGACACCCCAGGCAUAUCCAGACGAGAGGCCCACAAGCCCGUGAGCGCACAGCCCCUCUGACCAAGAGCGCGGCAUUCACCAGAGAAACCACGGCACCAAGCCACAACCGUAUGUACAACCGAUGCACCCGAACUCGGUAAUAUAUCCCAUCAGCCUUUACGGUAUCACGUGAUAAUCUGUCAAUGGCAGGUAAACGAGGAGAGAUGACGUACAAAUGGAGUGAUGAUGACAUUAGUAAGAUGAUCCGAUGCUGGAUGGAGAAGGACCACCUCUUCUCCGGGAAGAGGUUUUCUGCUGCAGCAGGAUGGGAAGUUGUGCUGAGGGAAAUUGGCCUGAAUGGAAUGCUGACUCCAGCAGCAAAAAAGUGGGAGAACCUUAAAAAAACCUACAAGGAGCUUCAGAGACCGCCGUCAGGAUCUGGCACUGAAUCUGGGGAGGUCACUGCUGACAAGUGAAAAUAGUUCCCUCUCAUGGAUGAGGCAAUAGGUGGCAGGCCCUCGAUUCGGCCCCCAUGCUUCAUUGCCUCAGCCUGGGGGGAGAGCCAUUCCUUUUCUGAAUCAGGCUCCCCAUAUUCAGUCCCAGAUAGACCUGAUGGAGAGUCAGGGACAGAGGAGGAGGAACCAGGGCCAGCACCACGCAAGCACCAGCGGUGUGAUAGGGUCCUGACAGGAUCCUGGAGCUGCUAGAGAGGGCCUAGGAAAGGGCAACAAGAGAGGAAGCCAGGGAGGAGACACUUUUAAAUCCAUUACAAAAACUGGUGGAUAAAAUGUAAAAAAUAAUAUAUUAAAUUGUUUAAAUCAAGUUAACUUCCAUGGAAACCAGCAAUGGAACAUGCUUGUUCCUCACACAAUAAUGUGAUGGGUGCUCGUUCUGUAGGUAAAACAAAGUUGUUGUUUUUUUUUAAAGGCAAUUUUCACUGUGCUGUUUGAUAAAUUAGAUGAAAUUUCUGGGAAAUAAGAACCCGAUGUGUAGUUUACAAUUGUUUUCACUAGGGGUGCAAUAUGAUCAUCUUAAAAUAACACAACAUAAAUGUGGAA
rnacentral:lncRNA from 1 species